rnacentral:rRNA from 1 species
CAUGCAAGUCGAACGAUGAAGCCCAGUCUUGCUGGGUGGAUUAGUGGCGAACGGGUGAGUAACACGUGAGUAACCUGCCCUUAACUCUGGGAUAAGCCUGGGAAACUGGGUCUCAUACCGGAUAAGAGCGUCCACCGCAUGGUGGGUGUUGGAAAGAUUUAUCGGUUUUGGAUGGACUCUCGGCCUAUCAGCUUGUUGUUGAGGUAAUGGCUCACCAAAGCAACUACCGGUAUCCGGCCUGAGAGGGUGACCGGCCACACUGGGACUGAGACACGGCCCAUACUCCUACGGGAGGCAACACUGGGGAAUAUUGCGCAAUGGGCGCAAGCCUGAUGCAACGACGCCGCGUGAGGGAUGACGGCCUUCAGGUUGUAAACCUCUUUCAAUAAGGAAGAAGCGAAAGUGACGGUACCUGCCGAAGAAGCACCGGCUAACUACGUGCCAGCACCCGCGGUAAUACGUAUGGUGCGAGCGUUAUCCGGAAUUAUUGGGCGUUAAGAGCUCGUAGGCGGUUUGUCGCGUCUGUCGUGAAAGUCCGGGGCUUAACCCCGGAUCUGCGGUGGGUACCGGCAAACUAAAAUGCACUAUGGGAAACUGGAAUUCCUGGUGUAGCGGUGGAAUGCGCAGAUUUCAGGAGGAACACCGAUGGCGAAGGCAGGUCUCUGGGCUGUAACUGACGCUGAAGAGGAAAAGCAGGGGAGCGAACAGGAUUAGAUACCCGGGUAGUCCAUGCCCGUAAACGUUGGGCACUAGGUGUGGGGGACCAUUCCACCGUUUUCCCCCCGCAGCUAACGCAUUAAGUGCCCCGCCUGGGGAGUACGGCCGCAAGGCUAAAACUCAAAGGAAUUGACGGGGGCCCGCACAAGCGGCGGAGCAUGCGGAAUAAUUCGAUGCAACGCGAAGAACCUUACCAAGGCUUGACAUGUUCUCGAUCGCCGUAGAGAUACGGUUUCCCCUUUGGGGCGGGUUCACAGGUGGUGCAUGGUUGUCGUCAGCUCGUGUCGUGAGAUGUUGGGUUAAGUCCCGCAACGAGCGCAACCCUCGUUCCAUGUUGCCAGCACGUACUGGUGGGGACUCAUGGGAGACCGCCGGGGUCAACUCGGAGGAAGGUGAGGAAGACGUCAAAUCAUCAUGCCCCUUAUGUCAUGGGCUUCACGCAUGCUACAAUGGCCGGUACAAUGGGCUGCAAUACUGUGAGGAGGAGCUAAUCCCAAAAAGCCGGUCUCAGUUCGGAUUGGGGUCUGCAACUCGACCCCAUGAAGUCGGAGUCGCUAGUAAUCGCAGAUCAGCAACGCUGCGUUGAAUACGUUCCCGGCCCUUGCACACACCGCCCGCCAAGUCACGAAAGUGGGUAACACCAGAAGCCG